rnacentral:rRNA from 1 species
AUUGAACGCUGGCGGCAGGCCUAACACAUGCAAGUCGAGCGGUAGAGAGGUGCUUGCACCUCUUGAGAGCGGCGGACGGGUGAGUAAUGCCUAGGAAUCUGCCUGGUAGUGGGGGAUAACGUCCGGAAACGGACGCUAAUACCGCAUACGUCCUACGGGAGAAAGCAGGGGACCUUCGGGCCUUGCGCUAUCAGAUGAGCCUAGGUCGGAUUAGCUAGUUGGUGAGGUAAUGGCUCACCAAGGCGACGAUCCGUAACUGGUCUGAGAGGAUGAUCAGUCACACUGGAACUGAGACACGGUCCAGACUCCUACGGGAGGCAGCAGUGGGGAAUAUUGGACAAUGGGCGAAAGCCUGAUCCAGCCAUGCCGCGUGUGAAGAAGGUCUUCGGAUUGUAAAGCACUUUAAGUUGGGAGGAAGGGUUGUAGAUUAAUACUCUGCAAUUUUGACGUUACCGACAGAAUAAGCACCGGCUAACUCUGUGCCAGCCGCCGCAGUAAUAC